AUUGAACGCUGGCGGAAUGCUUUACACAUGCAAGUCGAACGGUAGAGGGGGCAACCCCUCGAGAGUGGCGAACGGGUGAGUAAUAUAUCGGAACGUGCCCAGUCGUGGGGGAUAACGUAGCGAAAGUUACGCUAAUACCGCAUACGAUCUAAGGAUGAAAGCGGGGGAUCGCAAGACCUCGCGCGAUUGGAGCGGCCGAUAUCAGAUUAGGUAGUUGGUGGGGUAAAGGCCCACCCAGCCAAGGAUCUGUAGCUGGUCUGAGAGGAAGACCAGCCGCACUGGGACUGAGACACGGUCCAGACUCCUACGUGAGGCAGCAGUGGGGAAGUUUGGACAAUGGGCGAAAGCCUGAUCCAGCCAUUCCGCGUGCAGGAUGAAGGCCCUCGGGUUGUAAACUGCUUUUGUACAGAACGAAAAGGUUUCUACUAAUCCUAGGAGCUCAUGACGGUACUGUAAGAAUAAGCACCGGCUAACUACGUGCCAGCCGCCGCGGUAA
rnacentral:rRNA from 1 species